GCAGCAAACUUCCGUCAGUGUGUGCUUGGUGGCAUGUAUCGCUCCUCUUUCCCCAGAUCAAAUAUAUACUGACCUUCCCCCACCUGCGUCUUUGGAGGGGUUUCUCAGAGUCUCCAAAAUGCUGCCUCCUGGGCUAAAGUCCUCAUCUGGCCCCAAACAAAACCCUACUCUUAACUCUCACCUUGUGCAUUUUUUGUCCAAGCAGACACCUGGUCAAAGAGUUCCAGAAGGUAUCAAUAUGUCUGAAUGGAUAUUUUAAAGAGAGGAUAAAUUUUUUUUGUAUCAAGUGACUGUAGGAAAGGACCACAAAGAAAGCUGAGUUUGUGCUCACCGCGGGACAGAAAGGAGUGAGGUUAAAACCUCCCCAGCCCCACUGGGAAAGCAAGUGCUUAUUCUGGGAUGUCAUUGCUACAGCAGUUUGCAGGAUGGACUAUAGCUGCAAUCUCGCCUGAUCACAUCAAAGCUUAUGCUUGUGAAAGAGAGAUUCUGAAUACCACCAAAGCCUGGAUAAAAGUCUAUUUUCCUGAUGUGAAAUAAUGUGAUAGGACCAGAAAUGUUUCUGGAAAAAUUCAAAUUUUUCAAAUGGAAUAGAACAAUAGAGGAAAUAGCACGAAAAGAAAGAGAUUUAUGUUACAUCUAAAAAGAGUACACAUUUUUUUUUUCCCCCGAUGACCAUAUCCACAUUCAUGGCAUAUGGAACUUCCCUGGCCAGGGAUCGAAUCCAAGCCACAGCUGCAAUGUGUGCCACAGCUGCGGGGCAAUAUUGGAUCUUUUAACCCCCUGUGCUGGGCUGGGGGUUGAACACUCACCUCUGCAGCAACCCGAGCCACUGCAAUCAGAUUCUUAACCCACUGUGCCACAGCGGGAACGCCAAGGGUUCACAUUUCUUUUCCUAUAUCAUGACUUCAAAAUCAGCUAUGCAGACCCUUGAAGGGACAGUACUCUGAUGGCUGGAAGCUGUGUGUUGGUAUGUGUGUGCACAUUUUAUUUUAUUUUUUUGGUAUUAGCUGCAUUUGACUAUUUCUCCCCCUUACUGGAGAUGGCUUCUAGGAUCCAUAUGUGCUGCAUGGAGGAUUCCUCAAAGGAAAAUUCAGACAACUAGUUGUGUAUGUGACAGUCAUGGAGGGAGAGAUGCAUGUUGAAUGUAGUUGGAAGGAUUCUUCCCUAGACAGAAACCCAACCUGGAGCAGCUUAAGGUGAAAGAGAAUGCAAUGGCCCAGAGAACAUAGACAUCUAGCUUCAGGCAUGGCUGGAUCCAGGGGCUCUGUUUUCCUAUAUCUUGCCUCUUAUGCCCUCUGGAUGGGCAUUAUCUUUAAAAUCUCUCUGUUCAUGCCACACCAAAGAAGUGGUCCUGGGUCAGCUGGAGACCUGCCUGGUCUUUGGUAUGCAGGUACAAAAGGGGGUUAAUAAUACCUGUCCCCCAGGGGUUUAUAAAGGUUAAAUGAGAUGCUAUUACACAGUCACUGCUGGCUGAAAGAAGCCGAGAAAACUGAGAUUUUUAGCUGAACUCCAAACAACAUCAGGGUUUCCCUAGACAUGGAAGAGUGGUGAUAAAGGUUGGGAAGACCAGUUUAAGAGUCUUCUACAAUUCUCUAGAUUAGUGGUUAGGAGAUAGUUCUAUGUUCAUUUUUGAAUACUUGCAUACUCAUUCAAAUGUGACAUAAAGAACCCAACAGUGGAAGGGGCCUCCUGCAGGACCAAUAAAGAAUCUCACUCAGUACCAGCACACGGUGGAGGUAUUUCUGUGGUUAUAAAAACCCUCACUGGCCUCUCUGGGGUUGUCAGUGUCCCGUGGAGGAAUCAGACACUACUCUGCUCUCACAGACUUCAGGAAAAUACCCUUUCUUGUGAUCAAGGAAAAUGAUAUGGCAUCGAAGCCCAGGGCAAGAGGGAGCCUUCAUCACAGUUUCUGUACGUGGUUCCCCCACCAUGUUGCAGCUCUUCUGCCCUCUCUCCCCUAGUUCACCCCCUGCUGUCCUCCCACCCACUCUUGUCCCACAGCACCCAGGGAACCUAUAGAAGCAUCACCACCAGCAGUACCAGGGCGCAUCUCAGGGGCUCAUCUAAGGAUCCUGCGAGCACUUCGAUACCCAGUCAGCCAGUGUUUGAGGACUUCCCUCAGGCCCCUCCCUCCUCCUGGCAUCAUAAACAUUACAAAGCUUACAUAUUGUUGACCCAUGUCCAGGGUCAAUUAUUAAGUAAAGAGCAAAAUGUGUUAAAAUAGAUAAAUACCAAGGACCUACUGCAUAACACAGGGAAUUAUACCCAAUUAACUUGUAAUAACCUGUAAUGGAAAAGAACCUGAAAAAGAAUACACAAUACACACAUAUAUCCCUUUUCUAUACACCUGAAACAUCAUAAGUCAACUGUACUUCAAUAAAAAAUAUAGACAAGAAUGAUAUGUAACUGUAUCCUAACCACCAGCUGAGGGGAUUGUUGAAUACUCUGAAACUGGCUUAACCAAUAUUUAUUACCAGUCUUUCAAUUUUAAGGAAAUCCCAGUUGUGUUUGGAGUUCAGCUAAAACUCUUGGUUUCCUGGGUUUCUUUCCAGCUAGCAGUGACCAUGUGACAGUUAUGUCUCAUAAGAUAGAAUUAGAAUUUUCUUGGGUGAGACUUUUCUCUGAGAAAAAGAGAAAGACUUAGCUGGCAUAUUGUUUGACACUUUCUCUCUCUCAUUUUUGCUGCCUGGAAUGUAAGAUGUGGUGCCUGCAGGUACAGCAGCCAUUCUGUGAACAUGAGGAUGAAAGCCACCCACUAAGGAUGGGAGAGCAGGAAGGCAGAAGCCUGGUUCCCUGGGGACAGCCACCCAAACUGUAGCUACAAGGUACAUGUUUUUCUUAUUUUCUCUUGCUAUUUGAACUCUGGGCAUUAGGAUUUCGCAUUGGAAAAUGUUUCUAAAAUGUUAGAAGAGUACACUUUUCUCCUUAUUUCACUUUUCAUUAAAAAACAGAGGGAAAAUAUUGCUAAAGUAUUCACAGAAGAUCUGUUAUGAAUGCCGAAAUUAGCACCCUGGUGAUUUUUUUAUUGUCUUAUGGCUGGACCAAAUGACUUUCUAUUUUGCCCUGUUAUUUUAAAAUUGCAGGAAUUUUGUGAGCAUUAUCUGUGAACAUUGAUAAUUGAAACGUGAAAUGUAGGCCAGUUGUAUCUGAAUUAUACAUUUGGGCAAUUGCCAAUGGAGACAAUAAUGAAAUCACGGCCAGGCUUCCUCUGCAGCUGGAAGGAGGCCAUCAGACUUCAUGAGACAGGAGGUCCCCUUGUGGCUCAGUGGAAACGAAUCUGACUAGCAUCCACGAAGACGCAGGUUCUAUCCCUGGCCUUGCUCAGUGGGUUGAGGAUCCGGCGUUGCCGUGAGCUGUGGUGUAGGUCCCAGACGUGGCUCUGAUCCUGCUGUUGCUGUGGCUGGGGUGUAGGCCAGCAGCUACAGCUCUGAUUUGACCCCUAGCCUGGGAACCUCCAUAUGCCACGGGUGUGGCCCUAAAAAACAAACGAAAAGAAAAGAAAAGAUUUCAUGAGACAUAAAUGAGUUGGUUUAUAUGAAUAGAGUGCUUUACACAUGUUUAAACUUGUUCAGUCAUCAACAGAAUAUACUACUAAUGGCUGAUUGUGCCACAAUCGCUGAGACACAUGGCAUAGUUUCACUAUCAGAAGAGAUGGACUUUGAUC
ensembl:lncRNA